CCUACGGGAGGCAGCAGUGGGGAAUAUUGGUCAAUGGGCGCAAGCCUGAACCAGCCAAGUCGCGUGAGGGAAGACGGUCCUAGGGAUUGUAAACCUCUUUUGUCGGGGAGCAAAAGACGCCACGCGUGGCGUUCCGAGAGUACCCGAAGAAAAAGCAUCGGCUAACUCCGUGCCAGCAGCCGCGGUAAUACGGAGGAUGCGGGCGUUAUCCGGAUGUAUUGGGUUAAAGGGGUGCGCAGGCGGAAGAUAAAGUCAGCGGUAAAAGUGAGAGGCUAAACCGCUUCGAGCCGUUGAAACUGGUCGGCUUGAGUGAGUGAGAAGUAUGUGGAAUGCGUGGUGUAGCGGUGAAAUGCAUAGAUAUCACGCAGAACGCCGAUUGCGAAGGCAGCAUACCGGCGCUCAACUGACGCUCAUGCACGAAAGCGUGGGUAGCGAACAGGAUUAGAUACCCCAGUAGUC
rnacentral:rRNA from 1 species